rnacentral:lncRNA from 1 species
AAUGAUAUUUGUGCAACCACACAUGGAUCCAUGCCAACUUUUGCUGCAAUCUGUGCAACAAAAACAAAGCAGACUAAUAAAGCACAAAACAUAGUAACAUCAAGCGUACAUAGUCUUGUCACAUAGAAAAUGCAGUAGGGAAAAUAUGUUCAAUAUACUAAAGAAAAAACAGAAAAAGAUGAAAACUAUUUUCUGCCAUCUGAAUCUUCUUUCUUCGUCCAAAUAGCAGUGUAUAAGAAUUGUAGCAUUGAAUUAUGUGCAGAAUCUACGUCAGGUCCUUGACAAAUAAACCUGCACAUCAUUAGAACAACAAAUUUGUGAGAAAAACACUGAACAAAUCUUCUGUUUUGUAUCUGUGCAACCUAUUUACUGCAAACUGUGCAACAUACAUAACCACUCUGUGCAAAAGAAGUGCCAGAAAAUAUUGUAAACGGAUUGUGGAAAUUAGUAAGUUAAAAGAAGUAAAAAAAAGGUGUGUCAAAUACAUUGUGAAACUAGUGUGCAACUACUUAGGGUUCUGCAUUGCAAAACAUCUUGUUUGUAACACAUUUUGAGAAUACAGAAAAAAUAACUUGUGACUAUCCUGUUUGUUCUCUAGAAAAGGUAGAGGUGAUUAAUUAUCAUUACAUACAAAUAUUUGUUCUCUGGAAAACUAGAUUAAAAAGUUGAGUAUGGCAAUUUGAUAUCCUGUUUGUUCUGCAACUAAAAAUGCUGGUGAUGACAACUAAUGAGAUAUUCUGGUGCGACUAGAAAUGCUGAUGAUGCCAACUAAUCAGAUAUUCUUGUGCGACUAGAAAUGCUGAUGAUGCCAACUAAUGAGAUAUUCUUGUGCAACUAGAGAGGUUGAAGAUGUCACAACUACUACUUGGAUAAUGUUGUCCAACUAAAAUUGCAAAGGGUGCCAACUAAAUAGAUACUCUUCUACAACUAGAAAGCCUGAGGGUGCCAAGUCAUUAGAUACUAUUGGGCAAUCCUCAAAAAAAUUAAGAUGGGAUUAAUCUGAAUUCUUGUGCAACUAGAGAGGCUGAAGAUGUCAACUACUUGGAUAAUGUUGUCCAAUAAGAAUUGCAGAGGGUGCCAACUAAAUAGAUACUCUUCUGCAACUAGAAAACAUGAGGGUGCCAAGUCGUUAGAUACUGUUGGGCAAUCCUCAAUUUUUUUUAGAUGGGACUAAUCUGAGUUCUUGUGCAACUAGAGAAGCUGAGGAUGUCAACUAGUUGUAUAUUGUUGUGCAACUACAAUUACCGAGGUUGCCAACUAAUUAGAUACUAUUCUGCAACUAGAAAGUCUGAGGAUGCCAUGUCGUUACAUACUCUUGGGCAAUCCUCAAUUUUUUUAAGAUGAGACUAAUCUGAGUUCUUGUGCAACUAGAGAAGCUGAGGAUGUCAACUAGUUGUAUAUUGUUGUGCAACUAGAAUUACUGAGGUUGCCAACUAAUUAGAUACUAUUCUACAACUAGAAAGCCUGAGGAUGCCAAGUCGUUACAUACUCUUGGGACAAUUCUAAAAAACUUGAAGAUGGCAACGUUGAGCAACUGAGAAAGUUGAGCAUGCCAAUGCUUAUUUAGUCCUUCUGCAACUAUGUAUGAAAAUUAAUACACUUGGCUGACUGUAUGUGGAGUAAAAAAUCACCGAGAAAAAAGGGAUUGGAGGAGGUAGUGGAAGUGCUACUCCGACUCCACGACCAAGGACUCCCUUGGCGACCUACUAACCCAGCCACAAUGGAUCUUGUAGUCAGACCUUGACCACCUCUGCAGGCGUGUUGUAGACACCUGCUCACCAACUACCCCUACCAAUAGGAUGUGCGACUUCGGCGGCUGGUUGUCGAUGUGAAACUAUGAAAGCAUGGUUGUGCGAUUUUGCGUGGCUUCCUAACGACCACAGCGGUCCAGCUCCAUCACUGAGAAAAAAAGGGAUUGGAGGAGGUAGUGGAGGUGCUACUCUGACUCCACGACCAAGGACUCACCUGGCGACCUACUAACCCUGCCACAAUCGAUCUGGCAGUCAGACCUUGACCGCCGUUGUAGGCGUGCUGUCGACACCCGCUCACCAACUACCCCUACCAGUAGGAUGUGCAGCUUCGGCGGCUGCCCUGACCAAUUGUCUGGUUGUCGAUGUGCAACUACGAAAGCAUGGUUGUGCGACUUUGCGUGGCUUCCUAACGACCAUAACGGUCCAGCUCCAUCACCGGAAAAAAGGAAUUGGAGGAGGUAGUGGAGGUGCUACUCCGACUCCACGACCAAGGACUCCCCUGGUAACCUACUAACCCAGCCACAAUGGAUCUAGCAGUCAGACCUUGACCACCGCUGUAGGCGUGUUGUGGACACCUGCUCACAAACUACCCCUACGAGUAGGAUGUGCAACUUCGGCGGCUGCCCUGACCAACUACUUGGCAGUCAAUGUGCUACUAUGUAUGCUUAGGUGUGCAACUAUGUACUGCUUUCUAUGAAGCUUGUAAUUCCUCUCUGUGCAACUAUAUAUAACAAGUGUGCAAACUAUUCUAACUUGCAUAUCUUUCGAUUAGAAAAGAGAGGAAACGGACAAAAUUGAGCUCUACUGAGUAGCAGUUCCAACGAGCGGUAUCGUAAUGAUAAAUGCAGUCUAAGCAAUAAAUAGAUGGAUCAAGUUGCAUCGACUACAGAUCCAUGGUGUUUUGAAAAGUAGGAUCCUAAAUUCAUACCAUUAGUGACAAAAAAAUCUUUAGAACUUCAAUUAUUUUCAUUGAUUCAACUAGAUGUAAUGAGCACCAACCAAAACCAAGAGGAACUAGUAACUAUACCAAGUAGUCUUGAGUAAUUCUUACUUACAAGAACUAGAAAUUCCUUUGAUUCAACCCAACCAAACACAUCUCAUAAUUCAACAAGCGCAGGAAGCCAUUGGUACUCAAGGGACCAACUAAUCAGGGAAACCCCUGAUCCCAUCAAAGUCAAUUAGCCUCAGCGUUGAAGUCAUACCUGGCAGCAAACCUCCAUUGAGGAUGGAUCUGGAUGCAGCAGCGCAUACGCACAACUCGAAUGGGAACAUAGCAGCGACCACACACGCGCACAGGCUUCCUUCUCACUGAAAUUUCUUCAGUUCCUCGAACAUCAGAGGAAAAACAAAACUCAGGGCCGCAUCCCACUUCAAAUUACAUAGCUCCAUGGAUGGGCUCAAUUUUUUCUCACUAAAUUCCAUAGAAGGCAGACACGUACGAUGAAAGGAUGUAGAAGUACGGAGCACCGGCUGUACGGGUGAGCUUGUAGAUUGAGUGCUUGCUGAAAUUCGUGGAUAGGGGAGACACCUUCUUCGCUCUCGCACGGACUAAUUAGCAAGGAGGCGAGGGAAGGGCCGUUCGC